UUCUCCCUUCUCCCUUCUCCCUUCUCCCUUCUCCCUUCUCCAAGUACUGAAUUUCUGCCCGCGCAACCCCAGCGCCCUUUCCACAAGUUUUAUUUUGAAGACCGAGUCCGCCUCAGCCUUCAGCUCUAUGUUCUCUUGAAGUGAACCCUCCGGGUCUUAGAGCCUUAACUUCGUAGCUUCCCUAGGAGCUCCUCUCAGGUCCAGAUAUACAAAGGAGCAGCCUGGGAGCACCGAGCAGCAUCCUCCCUGAGAAUUCUUCCAGACACCAGAUCUUCCCGUUCCUGCUGUUCUCAUGGACAAGGUUGGGGACAGGCCUCACCCAGUCUUUCAAGAACCCCAUUCCUCAAUGUAGUGCCAUUUCAACUGCAUUUUAAUAAAUAAAGACUGCCUGAA